CCUUUUUGAUGUAACAUACUUUGGGAAUUAAAAUAGAAAAUGAAGAAAGGAUGUUUAAAUUUUUGGGAAUCAAAAAACAUUAUAUAAAUCGUGGAAAAAAAAGAUUGCUAUUCAAUUUGUCAUAAAGCUCCAUGGUGAUGUAGAAGAAUUUAUGUAUGUGAUUUAUAUGUGCAUUUAUAAGGUGUUAUUGUAAUAUUGUCGAAUUUGAAGAAUUAUGAGACCUGAGUCAUGUUAUUGUUUAUGUAUUGGCUGACAUGAUGACUUGACAAACAACAGGAUGAUUCAAUUGACAUACUUCUUUGGAGCUUACUUUUAAGUGCAUUUAUUGCCAUAUUGUUUCUUUGGAACCCCCUGUUGAGAAAGUGGGAGAACAGUCCACUGCUUCAUUCCCAUUGACAAGAUUUUGAAACCUGUCCUGAAUGAAUGUGUGACCCCAUUCACUUGUUACUGAGGAAGAAGAACUCAUAUUAGUUUUCAAGGAACUACGCCCACCAGUGAAAAUGCAAAUACGGGUCUGGAAGUGUUUGUGUGCCACCACCAACAGCCCAGGGACUGUCAACCAAUUUAGGUAAAAUGGUUAAUUUAAUUGUUCAACAACUCCUUUCAACCACUAUUCCAUGGUCCAAACUUUUGCUAUCUGCUUAUAUGCAAUGUCCUCAAGCUGACAAGAGGGACGGUUGUUGGUUGCUGGUCACCCAUGAGCGCACACUGCAGAACAAACUCUCAGGAAAUAGCCUCUCUCUCUCUCUCUGAAUUAGAAGAUGAAUUAUAAACUAGACAAACAAAUGUAUCAUAUGGAUUCUCCAACUUCUCACAUUUUGCAAGAUCAAUAUGAUCAUCUAUACAAACGCAUCUGAGAAGAUUUAGCCGCCAACACUAUUAUCACAGUUCAUCUUUUAAGACACAGAAAUUACUUUUUAAAAGACCUUGAGAGUAGAGCAUGAAUAUUGCAGAGCCAUCCCCAAUUUUGAAUCUGUUCAGCAUAGUUGUCCAAUAACUACUGAUACCCAAUUUCAGGCAAGACUUGUUUACAAUUUUUUUUUGUUUUUUGUUUGCUUUUUGUUAUUUUUGAUUGACCUGUUCACAUGUUUGGAAACAAUUUUUAAAAAAAUAAAAACAAUAAUAAACAGUUUAAGAAUUUCAGAUAUAAAAACCCAAAAUAUACCAUGAAAUGGACACACCAAUUUUUUUUAUCAGUUUCCAGAUAGGUGCUGCCCUUUUUCUUUUUCUUUUUCUUUUUCUUUUUUUUUUAUGUGGAUAACACCUAAGAAUUUCACUAGUUUAUUGAGCCACCCGGGAUGUCAUUUUAAAAUUUUUAGAAAUAAAUAAAAUAAUAAUUAAUUAAUAAAAUAAAAUCAGCCAAGUUCUGGCAGAAGUCCCCCAAAAUUCGAGCACUGUGAAAAUAAAAUCAUCUUCAAAUUAAAAUUCUUAAUACGAUGUAGAUGCAAUCAUGCAAUGCUUGUUUUUACUCUAUUGGCCAAACCACGUCGGCAAUCGUAUAAAACUCUCUACAUCACUUGAAGCAUGUAGUGUGCCAUUUUCUUCAACUUUCCCACUCAUGUCAUGCGUCGCGUAUGGGCAUAUCACUAGUCACUCCCAAACAAUUCGUUUGGGUGGCCUUAUCAUUAUUUUUAUAUAUGGUAAGUCUUAUAGAUAUAUUAACUUUUUUUUUAUAAAUCAUUUAGUAGGUAAAAAAAAUUAGAUGAAAUUCAUCGGGUACAUAAGAAAUGGUUAAUUACACUUUUGAUUUAUAAAAUAUGUAUUUUGUUUUGAUUUCCGACAUUUUAAUUGUGUCUGUUUAAUCUUCAAAAUAUUUAGACCUUGUUUGGGGUGCCUUAAAAAAGUUAAAAAAUCAAAAAGUCACUAUCCUAUUUAAGUUACAUCAUUUUAUUUAAAUCACAUCACAUCUCUACCACAUCACUUCAAA